UUAAUAUUUUCACGUAUAAGAUUAAUUUUCAACGUGGACGCAUUGCAUUUAUUUUAACUCAAUGUCUUGUAUUAGUGUUUUUUUAAAGGAUGAUAAUUAUUCUCAAUCAUUUCCAACCAUAUCAUAACGCCUAUGGCUCUAACCCAACUCAAUACUUGUUUAGUAAACAAUGUUUACUCUUCAGGGUCCAAGGAAUCUGUGGGGUAGAAAUAUUACCCAUAUUCACCCUGUAAUGAAUAACACAAAAUUCGAUCUGUAAAAUUUUUCAUCAUUUACAAUUCACUCUCGAAUUUCUAGAACGAAGAGGAACGUGAUGAAAAUGAAGAAAAGGAUAAAAUUAAAUUGAUUGAAUCUGCUAAGUUCGAGUUAAAGGAAAUACAUGAGGACAAAACAAGUUCAAUCGAACAAAAUAAUACAUCAAGUGACUUUCCAAACUUGUCAUCGAACCAUAUUUUAACGAGUCCAACCAACUCCAAUUCGAUUGCAUUCUGGAAUACAGAUUCAUGGGCUGGUGGAGAGUUUGAACCUCUAGAAGAACCAAUUUCAGGAAAUGCGAAAUUAGAUGAUGCCAAGCGUAAACGAGAAGAAAAAAAAAUUCAACGCCAAAGAGAUUUGGAAGCUCGGAGAAUUGCGCGAGGUGGCCCAAUGAAGCUGGGUGCAAAAAAAAAUUAAAAUAAUUAAAUUAAUCAUUCAAAAUAUUUUAUACUUAUUAAUAAUUCUACAGUAGUAAGUAAUAUGAUUUUAUUUGACUCGUUUGCUUUUGGAUUUGAAAUUUCGAAUUUUUUUUGGUUCGUUGUAAGGAUUUAAGCGAAUUCAAAUAAUUGUUCAAUGAACACAGUGCUGCCUUCUGUGAAAUAAAAAAAAUUGAACCCGUCGUA